rnacentral:ncRNA from 1 species
CAAGGAUUAAAAGACAUAAUCAAUUACAUGAGAUACUAGCUGGUUGAGGAAAGAGAAACAAUUGGAUUGUUUUUCCAGAGCCAUUAAUAAGAGAUCAAAAUAAUGAGCUCUUUAAACCAGAUCUAGUAUUUCUUAAAAAGUCACAGGUGGUGGAUAUUACUAUAAGAUAUGAAAAUAAUCCAUCAUCCUUGGCCGAUGCUGCAGAGGAAAUACUUAAAAAAUAUCAACAUCUUACCACACAGAUUCAGAAGUUAACGAAUGCUAUUACAGUUAAAUUUAUAGGUUUUCCGCUAGGUGUUCACGGUAAAUGGUACUCAGGAAAUUUUAAAUUGUUAACCGGACGGGGACUGACAAGAUCUUGUCAGCAAAAGACUGCAAUUAAAAUUUCUAAUUGCACUUUGUUCAGUUCUGUAGAUAUUGUUCACAUGUUUGCGAGUAAAUCACGGAUGUUUGGAAACACAUGUAGUUGGGAUGUUGAUAAUAAAGGUGGCAGGGGUAAUGGAAGUGGUGGGACAAAAAAUCGGAAAAUCUCCUGAAGAUUAAAAUAUCAUGACGUGGUCACUGAGCCGAUACCAUCUCGGCAAUGACCCUGAUGGACGAGCCAUCUUAUAACUCGUAAGGAAACGUUUUACAUUCUUGUUUCACGUUCACUACAUAGCCAAAUGCCUCAUCAUCUAAUUAGUGACAUGCAUGAAUGGAUGAACGAGAUUCCCACUGUCCCUACCUACUAUCCAGGGAAACCACAGCCAAGGGAAUGGCCUUGGCAGAAUCACCAGGGAAAGAAGACCCCGUUGAGCUAGACUCUAGUCUGGUGCUGUGAAGAGACAUGAGAGGUAUAGAAUAAAUGGGAGGCAGAGAGCAUGCUUGGCGCGGCGACCCGUCCGCUGUUGAAAUACCACUACUCUGAUGGUUUUUUUCACUUACCCGGUGAGGUGGGGGGUGAGCCCCGAGGGGGGCUCUUGCUUCUGGUGCCAAGUGCCCGCAGGUGGGGAGUUUGACUGGGGCGG